rnacentral:rRNA from 1 species
UACGGAGGGUGCAAGCGUUAUCCGGAAUCAUUGGGUUUAAAGGGUCCGCAGGCGGGAAAAUAAGUCAGGGGUGAAAUCUCUCGGCUCAACCGAGAAACUGCCAUUGAUACUGUUUUUCUUGAAUUCGAUCGAAGUGGGCGGAAUGUGACAUGUAGCGGUGAAAUGCUUAGAUAUGUCACAGAACACCGAUAGCGAAGGCAGCUCACUAGGUCUGGAUUGACGCUCAGGGACGAAAGCGUGGGGAGCAAACAGG